rnacentral:lncRNA from 1 species
CUACAACUUAUUCCUCAGAAUGAAUGGGCUUUUAUUAGACUCAUUAUAAAAGAGAAUUGAAGACAUGAAUUUUGAAAUUACACGCAUUAAAUAGUCAUUACAUUUUUUAACAACUCAAUUAAGAUUUGAAUUGUCAGUCGCUCAUUUACGAAGCAGAUAUGUUAUGCAUUAUAUUCGUCAGCAUUUUCCAAUGCGGCUGAAACACAUUUUAUAGCUUUCCCAUUGAGCACAUUGAAGUGAGAGUUGAGUCUAAUAAAAUUCACAGAAAAAUGAUGAUGUUCAUUUUUUAUCUGUCAAAUCACUUUAUGAUGAAAACAAUGCAGAGGCCCCUGAUAUACUGCAGCUUUGUGAGGAAAGAAAAUUGCCUGUUCACAACAGCAUCGCCUCUGGCUCUGCGUAUCUCCGCUAAAUGUUAUCUUUUCCAUUGGACCGUUCAUUUGGGCAUUUGCAGGUUCGACCAAUCAGUGAGCGGGAGAAGCUCGGUUGCUGAGGCGACAAGGGGGAAGGUCAACCUUGGAUACUCUAGUGAGGGCCCCACAGCAGGUCCCUGAUCUCGUGUCCUCCGGCAGCCUGUCUCUACGCGGUGCGAGCCAAACCCCGGUGUGCCAGUCAGAGGGAAGCGCCAAAAAUGUCCGGAGAAUAACCACAGUUUAAAUGUUUAUUAUGUUAUUUGAUAUAACAAUAUGAUGGUAAUGAUGGAGAGUACAGGAGGGCCCCUCAACAUUGUUUGUACAGUAUAAUGUUUCAUAUGUUUGUGCAGCUUGAGGUUAAUGAUGUGUUCCCUUAUGGCUUUUAUAUAGUUUGUUCAGGACAUAUAGGAUAUAAACUACAGCAUAUACAUUUAAAAGAAGAAUGUGCAGCUUAUUGCUACGUGUUAAGAUAAUAUAAUGCUGAUAUUUGUGAUGCAAGAUGAUCAGACAAGCUGCAAACAAACCAACACUUCAACCAGAUUACCUGAAACAUCUUAUUUGAAGGUAAAACUGUCUGUAAUGUUUCAUUAUCGCUCGACUGUGGUCGUGCACUACAGCAGGUCAAAGUUGAACCACAUUUAUAACUGACAGUAUGGAUAUUUCUCUCUGUAUGGCUUUUGUUUUCUCUUCUAACUAACUUUGUCUAACUUUGGGUUUUAUCCAAAAAGCUGAAUGAUCAUCUGUGCGCUCGUGUUUCUUGCCCCAUUAAACUUCUUUUUAG